UCCUACGGGCGGCUGCAGUGAGGAAUAUUGGUCAAUGGGCGGGAGCCUGAACCAGCCAAGUCGCGUGAAGGAAGAAGGAUCUAUGGUUCGUAAACUUCUUUUGCAGGGGAAUAAAGUGCAGGACGUGUCCUGUUUUGUAUGUACCCUGAGAAUAAGGAUCGGCUAACUCCGUGCCAGCAGCCGCGGUAAUACGGAGGAUCCGCGCGUUAUCCGGAUUUAUUGGGUUUAAAGGGUGCGUAGGUGGUUUGAUAAGUCAGCGGUGAAAGUUUGCAGCUUAACAGAAAAAAUGCCGUUGAAACUGUCGGACUUGAGUGUAAAUGAGGUAGGCGGAAUGCGUGGUGUAGCGGUGAAAUGCAUAGAUAUCACGCAGAACUCCGAUUGCGAAGGCAGCUUACUAAGCUACAACUGACACUGAAGCACGAAAGCGUGGGGAUCAAACAGGAUUAGAUACCCCAGUAGUCUU
rnacentral:rRNA from 1 species